AGUUUAAGUCAGUUUAGUGAUAUAAUCCAGAACCAAAAAUCCAGACACUAAGAAAUCACCUCAGGUUUCAUCCUAAGGUUGAUGGGAUACAUCUACCAACUGUCCGUGUCUCACAGAAGAUUAUACAAUUUUUUUUUUUUUCAUUCUGUAGAAUUUACUGUAGAACAUGUGUACAAGAGACUUGGGUGAAACAGUCAUUUGUGAUUUUUUUUUUUUUUUAAAGAUUGUGAAACUGAAAAUAUUCUGUAAAGCUUGUUGUCAGACAUUUUGUCUAUUGAUGUUAUUGGCUAUUUUGUAAAGCCAACAUUUUUCUACAUAGUUCAUCCACUGAAGAAAGUGAGAUAAAGCCUCUGUAUGUAACAUGGUGCUUGAAUGUGACCGUUCAGGUAUAGCCCUCCUAUCAACAUUUAAUUAAAAGGAAAUGGUCUGAA